rfam:Crassostrea gigas strain 05x7-T-G4-1.051#20 contig19010, whole genome shotgun sequence.
GUCAGGAUGGCCGAGCGGUCUAAGGCGCCAGACUCAAGAGAGAUUACUCUUCGUUCUCCUGUCGGAGAAUGUGGGUGUUCUGGUCCACGAAUGUGGGCGUGGGUUCGAAUCCCACUUCUGACA